ensembl:lncRNA
AUGCAAUACAUUCUGACCAUGCGGGAGCUGGGAGCGGAGCUGACGAGCCCUCCUUGGAGCCAUCCCCAGGGCUUGAAAAAUCUACCCCAAAAGAGCUGUGGCAGGGCAGGCAGGCCUGGCAGCCCCAGGAGCUGCCCAAAAUGCCCCACUGCUUGUUUUGUAGGCUACAAGGAACAAGGAGGAGCUCAGAGGCUGUCACUGAGAUGGCAUCUGGUUCUACAUAUCACCAUUUCCAUGGUCUUCCCCAAAGCCAGCUCUUCACCUGAUGGAGUUCCCUGCUGCUGUCUGGGUGCUUUGGCUGGGAAAUCAGGAGGGGAGAUCUGCGUGGUGCUGCCUGAGUCGCCCUGCCUGUCUCUGCCAGAGCCCCAAAGGAUUUUGCUGAUAGCUCUGCUCAGAAACUUUAUCUCCUGCCAUCAGGAUCCAUAUAAAAAGGACUUUGGACGUUCUGUAUUAAAUAAGCAGCCUUUCGCAAAAGGCUUCAGAACUGCUUUCCCUCCUCGCAGGUGGGAUUCCAGGCUUUGGUGGACAUGGAAGAAGAUUGUGGCCUCCUGUGAGUUUGUAAGAGCAGAGCUGUCAGUCUCCAGCACAGGCUGCCCAAAGAAGCUGUGGCUUCCCCACCCCUGGGUGUGCUCAAGGCCGGGCUGGAUGGGGGCCUGGGCAGCCUCAUCCAGGGAGGAUGCCCAUCACAAGGGGUUGUCACUGGGUGGAUGUUAAGGUCCCUUCCAACCCAAGUCACUCUAUGGUUCUAUAAGAUGAGCAGACCAUCACUAUUCUGACUCUUGAAAACUCAGUCUCACAAUGAAUAGCCAAUAUAUCACCUUUGGAAAGAGUUCACGUCCUUCCAAUGCCCCGCCUGCAGCCGUGGCAUCCUGCCUUGCAGGCUGUUUUCCACCAGCUGCAGGGCCAGCAUGUUCCAUUGGUAUCACAGCAAGGAGAUAACGUAUCAAGAAAUCUUAUUUCUCCUCACCAGCCAGCCUGAAAUCUGCUGAGACUGAGCAAAAUACUGGAGGGGACUUUGAAGCCAUGACUCAGGUUGCUCACUGAUAUAUUAACCCUUUGGAUUGGGAGUAUGAUAAAAAUGGGGAUGAAAGUGGAAAACGGUGUCUCCUUUAAUGUUUGGAAGCUGAGUGGGAUGGAAAAUGUAUGUGGUCCCAUCCUUAAAUCCCCCGAUUAGUUGUAGGGCCUUUAGGCAAGCAAGGGCAAGUGGCUGCUGUCUCAGGGAUGUGAUGGCUCCCACCACGUUUGGGAAGAACAGAUACAGCUCUAUGGAUAAAACAGGCCUUAGAAGAGCAUGACUCUGUAAUUGAGUGAAGUCUGUAAAACAUUGGGACUGAUCUUCCAUGAGGACUGGGGCUCGCAGCAGGAUCCUGCAGGCUGAUCAGGCAGUGAUGAAGCAAAGAGGAGGGAACAAGCCUGUUCCCGAGUUCCUGGUGCACCAGAGGCGAUCUACACAGUCCUAAAAAGGUUGCAAUGAAGAGACGGGCACCAUUCAUUACUUAAAUGCACGGAAAAACUCUGCCUGCUUUUGCAGUAAAAAUUAUUGAUCUGCUUCCCCUUAUCUUGCGUGAAGCCUGACUCACAGGGCUGUAACAGCAAUCAUUUUCAAGCUGGACUUUUCAGCAGGUUUCAAGCAGGAAGAUGUUCCUCCAACCCCUGGGACACGUGAGAGACCACAGGUACAGAGACAGCAUUGAGUGCACCAAAGCCUGACAGCACCCAGAACACCAAAACCCUUGGAGGCUGCGCUGCAAGGUGAGUUUGCAUGAGGUGUUGUUGAGAUUCUGUGGUGCUGUUUUUCACUUUCUACUGUUACUUCAGCUGUUUAAUCACUUGAAGAACAAAUUACCUAUUGUGUGGAUGUGUUUUGGGAUGGCACUGUGAUAUUGAUUGCCUGGAUAGGUUGCGAUGUUUGAUAGGUUGCCUGCUCCUAGUUUCUGUAAUAAAAUGCAAAGGCAAGAAAGGGGAAGGUUUCUU